rnacentral:lncRNA from 1 species
GAAAAUUGGUCAGCGUUUCCGGAUUCCAAGUUUUGCCCACAUUGUCCUGUCUAACAACAGACUUGCUGUGUAAAACUUUGUCAAAGAUCUGGACCUAACAGUUGCCUGGCUGUCAAAGCCAUCGAUUACGUGUAGCAUACUGUGAGUUUAUACGUCGAUAUCUAUCGAGGACGAACGAGUAGUAAGACGUGCAAGAUGAAACGAAAGCGGAAAAUAAAGGGCAAGCAAGAAAAUCAGAGGAGAAAUGCUCUACAAACAAUUUUACGUAGAAUGUUACUUCUAUUCGACGCUAUAAAUCAGAGGGAUCCAAUUAUUCCGCAUAAAACUCGUUCAACAUCGUUAACCACGUCUCUGCAUCCUCCUGCGCAUUCUUCCGUUAAUUAAAAUUAUUUUCGACAG